CCUGGAACCGCAGCCUGGAGGAAAAGUGGAGCUCAAGUGCUUAGGGGAUUAAAGUAAAUAAAAUGCUUCACUAGAGAUGAGGGCGCAAGUCUCCGUGUGAUUUAACGACUGCGGAAGGGUGAUGCACAUCCCGGGCAGGCAGCCAGCUGCCUUCGGCUGGUUCAGAGCAGCAGGACUAUGAGGAAGCCAAUGUCUAUCUGCGGUGACUGGAUGAGCAAGCUGUGGUCCAACAGGGACCACUCAGCAAUGAAGAGGAGUGACCUUCGGGUCUGCAACCCACAUGGGUGAAGGUCAGAAAUUCAGUUCUGAGUGAAAGAAGCCAGACAGAGGGGUGCAAGCCAUGCCACGUGGCCUUCCACCCAUGGGAGAACCACAAGGACCAAUUCCAGAGCGAGUCUCCAGUGUGCCGGUCUCCAUGGAAACGGUUCUCCAGUUUUGCUAGCCAGGCCCGGGAACAAGGAGCAACACCCAAGGAGCUUCCUCUCUGCUUGUCACACAGAAUCGGAGGUCCAGCCUGGGAGGCAGGCUCCUUGGCCUGGAGAGUGGAUGACUUUGCGUUGGGGACAAUUGAGCCACCCGGAAUCCAGAAGGAACCAGGGUCUUCUGUGGACAGAAGAGAAGCAGAUCUUCACAGCCAACCACGAGGAUGUGUUUUCUUCCUGGACCCCCACUCCUCGGCUUGCCGCAACCUCAAGUCUCCUCGUACCAAACUUAUUUCUAAAUUUAGCUUUUGUUUUCAGUAGUUAUAAUUGUGCAUGGUUUCAUAGGCCAAAUAGCACCACAAGGCUUAUGGUAUAAAAAGUAGAAUAAAGAGAGUAAA